CCUACGGGAGGCAGCAGUGGGGAAUAUUGCGCAAUGGGCGAAAGCCUGACGCAGCGACGCCGCGUGAGGGAUGAAGGUCUUCGGAUCGUAAACCUCUGUCAGCAGGGAAGAACGGUCACGGUGCGAAGCAGCAGUGAAUUGACGGUACCUGCAAAGGAAGCACCGGCGAACGCCGUGCCCGCAGCCGCGGUCAUACGGAGGGUGCGAGCGUUAAUCGGAAUUACUGGGCGUAAAGCGCGCGUAGGCGGUAUGUCAAGUCAAGGGUGAAAUCCCCGCGCUCAUCGUGGGAACUGCCUUUGAAACUGGCAACCUGGAGUGUGUGAGAGGAUAGUGGAAUUCCAGGUGUAGUAGUGCACUCCGU
rnacentral:rRNA from 1 species